AAAACAAAUCCUCCAAUUCCUUCUAAACUCUCACUUUUAAAUAUCUUCCUGCAGGUGAGGAUCCACCAGAUGGAUUUCUGAGUGCAGAAAUGGUGACUGCUGUUAACAGCUUCAGUUACCCCAGCUGCAUAUAACAAACAAGCAUGCAGAACUGAUAGAUAACAGUAAACAGAAAGAAAAACAAAGCACACGCAGAAGCAGUGCUGGUUUCUGCAAGAAUGAUGGAGCAGACUGAUCCUCUUUUCACUUUUAAUUUAUGUUACAUUCUUGUGAACAGUGUUAUGAAAAAAAAAGCCACACUGUCAGAUGAACUGCCAAGCCUUCUAGUUUACAUCGUGGUUGUGCCGCCAAAAGCCAAUCAAAAUAGCUGCAAAAAGAACCCCAAUCAGUUCAGGCAUCACACGCAUGUGAUAGGAAGUAGAAGGUGAUUAAGAACUCAUAAGCAACGUUGUACAGUAACAUACUUCAGUCAGAGAACUAAGAAGUAUCUUACAUGCAUGGAACACUGGAAGCAAAUAUGAAAAAUCAAAUUCACGGGAAUUUGUGGUUGAAACUGCUCACUGGAGCUCCUGAAGUUACCUGGCAGCCCGCAUAGUUACAGGCAGUUAAAACUCCAACAUGGGAACAUUGGUUCAAGAUGUCCCACAAAGAAAGACUGUUCACUUCCAGUGGAAAAUAUUUCUCAGCAGUUCCCCACUCACCGGCGUAGCAAAAAAAAAGUAUUACUAAAGUUACUCUUCUAUGAACGUGAUAGCAAAAUUCUACACAUGUGCAUCACUUGCAGUAGUGUUUAGACAACUAAUUCAAACUGGCUGCAAUGCAACAGCCUGCACUGAAAUGUAAUUUCACUAGAAAUGAAAACUGAAACUAAGACAGACAAGAACUAUGUCAAAGAAAUCUAAUGGAGUGCGCAUUCACCAGGAACCAGUUGGAUAAAUUGGUGCCAUUUACAGUACUUGCUUCAUCUGGUUAACACCACAGGGGCCAUUUUCGGAAGUACCUGCAGCGUUGAUUGUCAUUAGUAUAUAUAUAUUAGUAUAUAAGCAAAGCAAGCUGGUAAUUGUGCCUGUGGAAGACACCCCACACUUGAAAUGUUUGAAAUUACUUAUUGUCAAGAUGCAACGCUGAACUCUUUUGCCUGCUGAAUUGCUUUGCUUAAUGCAGCCACGUCCAACCCUGCAGCCUGGCACAGCUCGCGCUGUGGCCGCCCCUUGCCCCGCACCAUAUAUCAUGGCAGUGGCUCUGUCCCACUGAGCAGCCCGGUCCUGCCCUGGGCACUCACGCACUGCUACAACAACACAGCGGUGCGCAAUCAGAAUUGCCUGGGCUGGAACCAGGGGAAAGCACGCUGUCGUGCUGACUCCACCUCUCAUGCUCUUCACACACACUCAGUGGAAGUGGAAGCCGUGGGUAGUACACGUUACCUGUGCUUAAGCAUCUUGGCAAAUAGCACUACGCUUAAUUGGUAAGGAAAUUGCCUUAGUUUUCAGAGUUUACAAUUUAAAAAGACAUUAUGCGCAAAAACAAGCAGCCAAAUUCAAUGCGUAUCAAGGAAGGCUUUAGAGAUAAACUAGUGGAACUGACAAAAGUCUGUCACCUCAGCACGUUCUUCUUUAAAAAGCCCACGAUUACCAGAGAGAAAUAUCCCUCACUUCACAAUCACGCCUUAUUCAUGGCGUCACUUUUGGCAGCGCGUCCAUUUGUGAACAACUGUUUUCAAGGAUGAAGUGCAGGAGGAGUAAGAUUUCAAUAAAAAUCUCUGGCAAACACCUCGAGAGCUCACUAAGAAUUGCAGCCACUGCCACUGAACCAGUCUGAUGCAUUAGGAUCACAAAAACAGGGCCAAACAUCCCACUAGUGCUACUUUUUUCUUUUGCUAUGUUUUAAUAAAAAGUAUUUUAAAAGCCUUUACUUAUAUGCAUUAAAUAUACUAUAUAUUUUA